rnacentral:rRNA from 1 species
UACGUAGGGGGCAAGCGUUGUCCGGAUUUAUUGGGCGUAAAGAGCGUGUAGGCGGUUUGGUAGGUCCGCUGUGAAAACUCGAGCUCAACCUCGAGACGCCGGUGGAAACCAUCAGACUAGAGUCCGGAAGAGGAGAGUGGAAUUCCUGGUGUAGCGGUGAAAUGCGCAGAUAUCAGGAGGAACACCGAUGGCGAAGGCAGGUCUCUGGGCCACUACUGACGCUGAGAAGCGAAAGCAUGGGGAGCGAACAGG